AUCAAAUAUAACAAGGAGACUCCUUGUGUGGAAAAUUAAACAUACAUAGCAUUGCGAAUCAGAAUCAGGGCCUCUUACUCAAGAGUAGCUUGAGACCAAUCUACCUUAACAGGCACCUGGACACCAAUAUUGGUAAGAGAGUCGGGGGGGGGGGGACGACAACGCCCAGGCCCCAAGUCACGCUCCAGAAUGGGGCACCUCCCGCCCCCCGAGAUACCUGCUCGCACACCCGCGCCCAGGCCCAGUCACGUCCUACCACGAGGGCUCUACCUAGAGUGCCGAGGACCGGAGGCCACGGCCGGGCCGGCGGGCGGGCCGGCCGGGGCCGCAACUACGACUCGCACUCAAGGGCUCCACAGCCGCCCAGACCCGGGCCAGCCUGGACCACACAACUCCACCAGACGCAGACCGGCCGCCCGGCCGCACGCGCUCUUCCGCGACCCCUCUGACCGGGGCCGGAAAGGGCCCCGCGGGCCACGACGCCAUUUUCUCGGCGCGGUAACGCCACUCGCAGGAAUUGGGCUGCGGCCAUGGCGCCGCUCCGCCAGGCCCCGACUCCGAGCGCCGUCCGGGUCCACACGGCUCCCGCCCUCCUGCGCUGCACAGGGCCACUUACCGCGGCCGCCGGGGCCCCGCGGCCAUCUCCAGAGCCGCCACGGAACUAGCGCGGAGGCCAGCGAGACCGCCGGCCUAGAGCGGCGGGCCGCACAGCAAGCGGAAGAAAUCAAGCGGCCACCGAGACGCGGCGAGGCUAGAGCGGCUCUGCCGUCCUGGCCGCACGCAUGCGCCAGCGCGGCCACCUGGGUUUCCCGGAGCGCCCGCCAGACACUUCAGGAAACCGGAGAUCGGUCGCGCUACUCCCUUGCAGCACCAUGAACACUAGCCUCUUACCCUGAGAGCAGUUAACACCAGGGUUGAGCGCUCAGUUUUGCUCACACAGCCAGCUUCUAAUUUACGUAUGCACGUAGACACAUCGCUUGGAAGCCAGAGUCUCCUGGUUCUAAUUUCAGCCUCUUCGAAAAACAAAGAUGUGGCCUUCACUCACACUGUGGAGAACUCUAGAGCUAUGUCCAGAAGCCCGGCCUUAGUUAAGUAGGCUUGCUUUCAGUAUUUCCCAAGGUUACAAACCAACUCCUAGGGAUCUCUCCUUGGUGAGAUCCUUCUGACCUUUCUGACUCUUGACAACAAGUCUACUCUGAGCCGGGCGUUGGUGGCACACGCCUUUAAUCCCAGUACUCCUGAGGCAGAGGCAGAGGCAGGCGGAUCUCUGAUUUUGAGGCCAGCCUGGUCUACAAGAGUUAGUUCCAGGAUAGGCUCCAAAGCUACAACGAAACCCUAUCUCGGGAACCCCCCCCCAAAAAAAAAAAAAGAAGUCUACUCUGAUUUCUCAACUCUGCCCUGAGUUGAGGGAGGUUUCUACCCUCAGACACAGAACCAGACAGGACUGAAUCCAGUUUAAAGUGUGUGAGCUCGUGCAAGCUGCAGAAUGGGGCGCUUACAUCACAGGCCAAAGUGAAGGCCCAGGCAAACAACAAGGAAGAAGCAUGGAGAACUCACACCAAGAACCAAGCUCGUGUGGUGGCUGCAGGCUCAGAGAACCACCCUGCAGUCUGGUAGCUGUGCUAGAGUGGCCAUCUAUGGGACAACUAACUAUAUGCUCACUGUCCUUUUCUUGCUGUCAUCUCCAAUUUUCACCCCUCCUUGGUGAAAAACAUCUGUAAUGUGAACAUCUUUUUUUUUUUCUUUCUUUCUCAAGACGGGGUUUCUCUGUGACUCUGGAGGUUGGUCUCGAACUCAUAGAGAUUCACCUGCCUUUGCCUCCCGAGUGCUGGGAUUAAAGGUGUGCGCCACCAACGCCCUUAAUCCUUACUGUUUACAGUCACCAGUUAAGAUCUUGUUCCCAAUCACCAGCACCCACACAACAAGCUGGUAUCCUGGCAAAUGUCUGUAACCCUGGCUCCAAGGUGGGGGUUGAGGGGUGGAAAUGGGAAGACCCUACAGCUUGCUGGCUUUUAGCCUAAUAGGACACUGGACACCUCCUACCACACACGUGUGUACUACACAGACCAAUUAAAAAGGGGGGUGGAGAACUAGCAAGGCUGACAAGACAGCUCAACAGGUAAAGGUGCUGGCCACCAAGACUGACUAACCUGAGUCUGAUCCCCAGGAUCCACAUGGCAAAAAAGAGAACCCCACUCCAAGUUGUCCUCUGAUAACAUCCACACAGACGCCAUGGCAGCACAUACAAUAAAGUAUAAUACAAAAAACUAAAUAAAAUCCUUUGGAUGGCACCACUUACAAUUCUGCACUAAAACCCCCAAUCCAAACUUUCAAAACCCUGAAGAUAUUCAGCAGACAUUGGAAACUUGAUAGGCAAGACCACUUGCCAAGUCAGCCCAUGCCGGUUACCCAGUUCUAAGAUGGCUUAGGAAGCAGAAGGAUGGCAGCUUUUCACCAGCACACAAUGCCCACCACAGCAAGAUCGUGUCUCAAACAGUAUGAGACCCAGAACAAGGGGCCUGGGCCCUCCAGGUGGGCAACAAUAGACUGUCUCAGGAGGUGUGUGGACCCUGAGACCAAUCAGGGUUCAAGAGGAGGGAUAUGGCAGCAGGGAGAUAAGGUAAACCAAGCUGGCUUGGCCUGCUUCCUCUUGUCCCCUGCUCCCUGACCUACACCCUAGCUGAGAGCCAGACAGGGUUUGUUCAUACUCCCUGUGGAGAGUCCCUGCUGCUCCCUGCUGACAGGUUAUGUACAAGGGUAGUGCUGCUGUACACCUGCACUUGGUCAGCUACACCUGUGGCACAUGCUCAUCACAGAAGUCUAACUAAACAAGAGUAUGGGUGGAUCAUUAUGACAAAACUCCUAAAGAGACAGAAUGCAGAUUGCCACAAGAUACCUGGCACAGCCCUCCCUCCUCAAGGAUGCCAACAUUCAUAGAUGCUCAAGGCCUUUAUAUAAAUUAUUUCCCUAGAACCUACACACGUAAGUCCCUGGAUGACUUACACCAGAUACAAAGCAAAUGCUACAUAAAUGUUAUGCUGUAUUGUCUAGGGAACGAGGAUACAAAACCCUGUACUUGUCAGUGCAGAUGCACACUCCCCUCCUCCUGUACGCAUGCCUGUAUGUAUGCAUACACAAUCUGUCAAUGUUGCCUAGCAAUCCUUGAACUCAAGAUCCUUCUGCUGCAGCCUCCCAAAUGUUAACAUGACAAGCUUGUGCCCAGCCUGGCUCCAGAGCAUUUCCGGUCCUAAGCUAGUUGAGUCUACAGGGACAGAACAUGAAUAUACACUGGUCACUGGGGGGAGGGGCUAGACAUGCAAGGACGAUGUGCUUAUAUGUAAGAAAAGCUUAAAUCACCGGGCAUUUCUCUUUUUAUUUUGCUUUUUGAGAAACUGAUAAAUCCUAAAUAAAAUCAACUGGGAAAAUGGCUCAAUGGUUAUAAGAUCACUUGCUGCUCUUACAGAAGACUUAAGCUCCCAGCAUCCCAAAGAAGGCAAACAGUUAUCCUUAACUCCAGUUACAAAGUUGUCUUCUGGACUCCUUGGGCACCAGACACCCACUGCAUGUGCAAGCAGAACACUCAUACAUGUGAAAUAAAAAUUAAUCUAAAAACCAAAAGUUAACAGUUAGCUUCCAG
rnacentral:lncRNA from 1 species